CAACAUUCUCUGUAACAAGCUUCAACUGGAAACCCCAGUUGUUUUAACUCUCGAGGACAGCAUGAGACGUCGUUUGGUGUAGUGGAUAGAGCAUUGGCCUGGGAGUCAGAAGCCGUGUCUCCCAGCAGAGUGGGACUGCAGCCACAGUGGCCCUGGAAAUGCCUGUUCUUCUCCCUGUUCAGCCACCCACCAGACAACCAGUGCCACAGCUGUGAUCCCACCUCCCAUAGGUGCAAGGCAGGGAUGGUGGCAGGGAAUAGCAGAGGCUUCCGCUUCAAUCUUGGUGGCCACACUGGAGGUGAAGACACUAGGGAGUAAAACAGCAAAGCCACCCACCAGACAACCAGUGCCACAGCUGUGAUCCCACCUCCCAUAGGUGCAAGGCAGGGAUGGUGGCAGAGAAUAGCAGAGG
rnacentral:lncRNA from 1 species